CCUACGGGGGGCAGCAGUCGAGAAUCAUUCACAAUGGGGGAAACCCUGAUGGUGCGACGCCGCGUGGGGGAAUGAAGGUCUUCGGAUUGUAAACCCCUGUCAUGUGGGAGCAAAUUAAAAAGAUAGUACCACAAGAGGAAGAGACGGCUAACUCUGUGCCAGCAGCCGCGGUAAUACAGAGGUCUCAAGCGUUGUUCGGAAUCACUGGGCGUAAAGCGUGCGUAGGCUGUUUCGUAAGUCGUGUGUGAAAGGCGCGGGCUCAACCCGCGGACGGCACAUGAUACUGCGAGACUAGAGUAGUGGAGGGGGAACCGGAAUUCUCGGUGUAGCAGUGAAAUGCGUAGAGAUCGAGAGGAACACUCGUGGCGAAGGCGGGUUCCUGGACAUUAACUGACGCUGAGGCACGAAGGCCAGGGGAGCGAAAGGGAUUAGAUACCCUGGUAGUC
rnacentral:rRNA from 1 species